rnacentral:ncRNA from 1 species
UAGAAGCUUGGCUCUGACUUUAAGUAUAACAAAGAACUAAAAAAUACACAUGGUUUUUAUAGAAAUAGGCGAGGAAAGAAGAAGACACUUAGUAGUUACAAAAACAGAAAGUGUUUUUUUCUUAUAGUAUUAUAGAUUUAAAUGAUACUUUGAUACGUCCCGCUAACACCAGUGCUGAAGGUUAAGAAAAAGACGUAAGUCUGGAUUAAUUUAGUUCAUAAAGUCUGGUUAACUUGGUGCCAGCAUCCGCGGUUAAACCAAGAGGAUUAAGUUAUACUUCUUUGGUUAAAAGAUAGUUAGGUAGGAUUCAAAGUUUAUUUAAUUAUUAUUUAGAAGUAAAAUUCGUAAAUAAUUGAGAGUUUUUAUUAUAACUAGGAAACUGAAGCUAUGAAACCCCUGAGGGAAACUGGGAUUAGAUACCCCAUUAUUCUUGGAGAUAAAGGAAUAUAAAUUUACCAGAGUACUACGAAUUAGGUGCAUUUAAAACUCAAAGAGCUUGGCGGUGUUUUAGACUUUUCAGGGGAACCUGUCUCAUAAUCGACAAUCCACGAUAUACCCCGCCUUUAUUUGCAUUCAGUUUGUAUACCGUCGUCGGCAGGUAACUUUUUAGAAAAGAGAAGUUAGCAAGAGGACUGACUUAAUAAAUCCUUACGUCAGAUCAAGGUGCAGUCAAUAUAAAGGAGAGGAUGGGUUACAGUUAUUAAAGAUAUAAUUACGAAGCAACCAUUUGAAACAUAAUUGCGAAGGAGGACUUGAAAGUAAAAUAGAUUAUAUAAAUAUCUUGAAUUAAGCUCUGAAACGUGCACACAUCGCCCGUCGCUCUCGUUGAAAAACGAGAUAAGUCGUAACAUAGCAGAGGUAAUGGAAGUUGCCCCUAAACUAAA